rnacentral:rRNA from 1 species
GACGGAGGAUGCAAGUGUUAUCCGGAGUCACUGGGCGUAAAGCGUCUGUAGGUGGUUUAAUAAGUCAACUGUUAAAUCUUGAGGCUCAACCUCAAAAUCGCAGUCGAAACUAUUAGGCUAGAGUAUAGUAGGGGUAAAGGGAAUUUCCAGUGGAGCGGUGAAAUGCGUAGAGAUUGGAAAGAACACCGAUGGCGAAGGCACUUUACUGGGCUAUUACUAACACUCAGGGACGAAAGCUAGGGGAGCGAAUGGG